AGAUGCGACCGGCGCACGGGUGAGUAACACGUAUCCAACCUGCCGAUAACUCGGGGAUAGCCUUUCGAAAGAAAGAUUAAUACCCGAUGGUAUAAUCAGACCGCAUGGUCUUGUUAUUAAAGAAUUUCGGUUAUCGAUGGGGAUGCGUUCCAUUAGGCAGUUGGUGAGGUAACGGCUCACCAAACCUUCGAUGGAUAGGGGUUCUGAGAGGAAGGUCCCCCACAUUGGAACUGAGACACGGUCCAA
rnacentral:rRNA from 1 species